rnacentral:lncRNA from 1 species
UCUUCCUCAUUUAGCUGGACUGGCUCGUCAGAAUCAGAUGAGAAUGGUGAAAGAAUCAUCAUCAUCAUCUGAUUCAACUCUUCCCUUUGAUCAUAACAACGUAACACGUGAUGCUGGAGUAGCCCUUUUUGCUGCUUCUGCUGCUGUCACUAAGCCGACUCUAACAUCUGCAUGAUCUCUCUUUGUAACUCUAGCGGAAGAUGCUCGCCCAAUGAUUGAUUCACCAGCUAGUAGUUAGUUGGUAGGGACAACCUCACCCGUGUGUAAGCUAAGAGAGGCAUAAUCCUCCUAUACUGAGCUGGACGUUGCAGAUCUUGCUUCUUCGGAUCUUUCUGACUCUCACUCGUAGGCAGAUGAUUCGUAUGUAGAUGCUCA